rnacentral:rRNA from 1 species
CUUGACACUGAACACUGGUCCUUGAUGUGUAGGAUAGGUGGGAGGCUUUGAAGCGUGGACGCCAGUCUGCGUGGAGCCAACCUUGAAAUACCACCCUUUAAUGGCUGGUGUUCUAACGUAGACCCGUGAUCCGGGUUGCGGACAGUGUCUGGUGGGUAGUUUGACUGGGGCGGUCUCCUCCUAAAGAGUAACGGAGGAGCACGAAGGUUAGCUAAUCCUGGUCGGACAUCAGGAGGUUAGUGCAAUGGCAUAAGC